UCCGAGUUACCCCGGCAGUCUCCUAUGAGUCCCCACCAUUACGUGCUGGCAACAUAGGGCGAGGGUUGCGCUCGUUGCGGGACUUAACCCAACAUCUCACGACACGAGCUGACGACAGCCAUGCAGCACCUGUGUUCCGAUUCCCUUUCGGGCACUCCCACCUCUCAGCAGGAUUCCGGACAUGUCAAGGGUAGGUAAGGUUGUUCGCGUUGCAUCGAAUUAAUCCACAUCAUCCACCGCUUGUGCGGGUCCCCGGCAAUUCCUUUGAGUUUUAAGCUUGCGCUCGUACUCCCCAGGCGGGAUGCUUAACGCGUUAGCUUCUCAGCCCAGAGGGUCGAUACUCCAAACUGAUAGCAUCCAUCGUUUACGGCGUGGACUAC
rnacentral:misc_RNA from 1 species